GGCCUCCCCGAGUGCUGGGAUUAAAAGUCAUGAGCCACUGCGCCCGGCCACAACCAAUUUUUUCUUUGUUUUUCUCCACUCCCACUGUUUCACUUGACUAGCCUUAA
ensembl:misc_RNA Y_RNA Y RNA